AUUUUGACUUCUCAUUUUCUACUUAAAAAUUUAAUUCAACAUUAUAGUUUUAAAUUGUGUCCGUGCACAAUACUUUUAUAUUCACUGCUUUUACUAGCAAAUUUAUUUGGAGAAAUGAGUUAUGAAUAAUUUUUGAUUGCUUUGUUUUUGGGAAUAUUAUUUGGAACUUAUUGUGUUGCCAACUCUGCAAAUGGGAAUUUUGAGAUAAAAUGUGAUUUAUGGUUUGUAUGAAAUAUUGUGAUUUGAAAUUGUUUUGAUUCACACUUGGCAUGAUAAUAUUACUAUGUUCCUCCUCCAUUUAUAGGGUUGAGAUAGGCUAUAUUCCUCCCUCUCUGGCUUGCCAGUCUGAGGUGAGUU
rnacentral:misc_RNA from 1 species